rnacentral:rRNA from 1 species
UACGGGGGGGGCAAGCGUUGUUCGGAAUUACUGGGCGUAAAGGGCUCGUAGGCGGCCAACUAAGUCAGUCGUGAAAUCCCUCGGCUUAACCGGGGAACUGCAUCUGAUACUGGAUGGCUUGAGUUCGGGAGAGGGAUGUGGAAUUCCAGGUGUAGCGGUGAAAUGCGUAGAUAUCUGGAGGAACACCGGUGGCGAAGGCGGCCUGCUGGGCAGUGGCUGACGCUGAGGCGCGACAGCGUGGGGAGCAAACAGG